rnacentral:rRNA from 1 species
UACGUAGGGUGCGAGCGUUAAUCGGAAUUACUGGGCGUAAAGCGUGCGCAGGCGGUUUUGUAAGUCUGUCGUGAAAUCCCCGGGCUUAACCUGGGAAUUGCGAUGGAGACUGCAAGGCUAGAAUCUGGCAGAGGGGGGUAGAAUUCCACGUGUAGCAGUGAAAUGCGUAGAGAUGUGGAGGAACACCGAUGGCGAAGGCAGCCCCCCUGGGCCAACACUGACGCUCAUGCACGAAAGCAUGGGGAGCAAACAGGG